rnacentral:lncRNA from 1 species
CACUGGUUCUCCCCGUGCUGGCUCUAACAUGGGCCUUUGUGUGUCUACACUUCCGACGUCUCGGAAAGACGAGAAUAUCUGUCAGGCUUUUGCUCCGUUCAUUACGGAUGGCUUUGUCACUUUGCCGGGUGCGCCUGGUACGCAGGUGCCGAUAAGGAUACUUCGGGACACGGCUGCCUCGCAAAGUUUCAUUUUGGAGAAUGUCUUGCCUUUUAGUGACCAGUCGUACACUGGCGAAGAUGUGCUUGUCCAGGGUUUCGAAAUGGGCUUUGUGAAUGUUCCUCUCCAUGACGUUUCGCUCCUCUCUGAUCUGGUUACCGGUGACUUUAAAGUGGGCGUACGUCCUCAUCUUCCUAUUGAAAAUGUGCAAGUGCUACUCGGGAACGAUAUUAUGGGAGGGGUUGUUUUUUCUAGCCCUGUUAUGACUAACUCUCCCAUUUCUCCAGGUCCUGACGAGUUAGAUGUGAAAUUUCCUGAGGUUUUUCACGCUAAUGUUGUUACGCGCGCUAUGGCGCAGACGGCGAAAGAGACUGCUGUUAGCGGAAGCAAUGAUGAGGUCGUUGAUCUUAGUGAGACGUUUAUGGCCCAUCCUUUGCCUUGUACUAGUGGGGAAAACGAAAAAGCCUCGAAGUCGGCUCCACUAUCUUUUGUUCCUUGCGGUCCUAAACUGUCUCUCAGUCGCGAACAGCUCAUUGUCGAACAGAGGAACGACUCUUCUCUCUCUUCCCUACUUACAGACGCGGUGUCUGAGAAAGACAUCGAGUCUACGCCGCAGGGCUACUUUAUUCGAGAGGGGGUCUUGAUGCGCAAGUGGAGACCACUGACGGCCUCAGCAAGUGACGUCUGGCGUGUUUUGCAUCAGAUUGUUGUUCCGCUUCCAUAUCGAGACGAAGUGCUACGCCUAGGCCAUGAUCAACAUUUCUCCAGUCAUUUAGGCAUUAACAAGACAUCUGAUCGCAUUCUACGUCAUUUCUUUUGGCCAGGUCUCAGGCGUGAUGUUGCACAUUAUUGCAAGACCUGUCACAUAUGCCAAGUAACGGGCAAGCCUAAUC